CUUGGUCAUUUAGAGGAAGUAAAAGUCGUAACAAGGUCUCCGUUGGUGAACCAGCGGAGGGAUCAUUACAAGAGUAGCCCUAGGCUCUCCAACCCACUGUGAACAUACCUACGUUCCCCCGGCGGGCUCAGCGCGCGGUGCCUCCGGGCGCCGGGCGUCCGCCGAGGGCCCCCAAACUCGAAUUUAUUACGUGUAUAUCUGAGGGGCGAAAGCCUGUAAAAAUAAAUCAAAACUUUCAACAACGGAUCUCUUGGCUCUGGCAUCGAUGAAGAACGCAGCGAAAUGCGAUAAGUAAUGUGAAUUGCAGAAUUCAGUGAAUCAUCGAAUCUUUGAACGCACAUUGCGCCCGCCGGCACUCCGGCGGGCAUGCCUGUCCGAGCGUCAUUUCAACCCUCAGGCCCUCCCUUCCGGGGGACGGGCCUGGUGUUGGGGCUCGGGGUCCGCAAGGCCCCCGUCCCCUAAACCCAGUGGCGGUCGCGCUGUAAUCCCCUGCGUAGUAACACACCUCGCACCGGAGACCAGCUCGGCCACGCCGUAAAACACCCCAAUUUUACCAAGGUUGACCUCGGAUCAGGUAGGAAUACCCGCUGAACUUAAGCAUAUCAAUAAGCGGAGGAAAAGAAACCAACAGGGAUUGCCUCAGUAACGGCGAGUGAAGCGGCAACAGCUCAAAUUUGAAAUCUGGCCGCAAGGUCCGAGUUGUAAUUUGCAGAGGAUGCUUUUGGUGAGGUGCUUUCCGAGUUCCCUGGAACGGGACGCCAUAGAGGGUGAGAGCCCCGUACGGUUACGCACCGAGCCUCUGUAAAGCUCCUUCGACGAGUCGAGUUGUUUGGGAAU
rnacentral:sRNA from 1 species